AAAUUUGCUGUGGUUAGACAAUGUAUAUCAAAAUCUACUGGCCAAGAAUAUGCUGCAAAAUUUCUAAAAAAGAGAAGAAGAGGACAGGAUUGUCGAGCAGAAAUUUUACACGAGAUUGCUGUGCUUGAAUUGGCAAAGUCUUGUCCCCGUGUUAUUAAUCUUCAUGAGGUCUAUGAAAAUACAAGUGAAAUCAUUUUGAUAUUGGAAUAGUAAGUAUAUACUAAAUAGUACCUAUUUUAGUUGGUAUGAAAAGAUGAUUAAAAUGUCAAGAAUAAGAAUGAUAAAGGUGUGACAAGAACUUGUAAAGAUUCCUGUUAAUAAAAUGUAAAAGGGACCUAAUUUAUAUUCAGAUAUUUUCAUAAGACUAAAUGUAUAGCCUCGGGCACAUACACAAAAACUAACAGCACAGAAUAAGCAAAUGACAAAUACAACAUUUGAGGAAUGUGGAGAAAUGAAUAUACAUUAUUUUCUUAAUGGCUAAUUGAUUGAAUUUUUCUGGAACACAAUCUGAUGGGCAGAUAGAAUUGAAGUAAUUUGUAUAUUUUCUUCAUCUAUUUGAAAA
rnacentral:lncRNA from 1 species